rnacentral:rRNA from 1 species
AUGGAAUUUGAUCCCCUUGGUCGUUCUGUGAAGGAUCUCAAAACCCAGGCCCUGAUCGCACGACAUGAUAGCACUGGGGAUCUCUAUCCACUCCAUGGAGCCAUGACAACCAACCCUGCAUCGGCGUUCCUCGCUAGUGUCAACCUUUGGCACCGUUCGCUUAGGCCAUCCCAAUUCACAGACUGUAUCUAG